rnacentral:rRNA from 1 species
AGAGUUUGAUCUGGCUCAGGACGAACGCUGGCGGCGUGCUUAACACAUGCAAGUCGGACGGAAAGGUCUCUUCGGAGACACUCGAGUGGCGAACGGGUGAGUAACACGUGGGCAAUCUGCCCUGCACUUCGGGAUAAGCCUGGGAAACUGGGUCUAAUACCGGAUAGGACCUCAAGACGCAUGUCUUCUGGUGGAAAGCUUUUGCGGUGUGGGAUGGGCCCGCGGCCUAUCAGCUUGUUGGUGGGGUGACGGCCUACCAAGGCGACGACGGGUAGCCGGCCUGAGAGGGUGUCCGGCCACACUGGGACUGAGAUACGGCCCAGACUCCUACGGGAGGCAGCAGUGGGGAAUAUUGCACAAUGGGCGCAAGCCUGAUGCAGCGACGCCGCGUGGGGGAUGACGGCCUUCGGGUUGUAAACCUCUUUCAGCAGGGACGAAGCGCAAGUGACGGUACCUGCAGAAGAAGCACCGGCCAACUACGUGCCAGCAGCCGCGGUAAUACGUAGGGUGCGAGCGUUGUCCGGAAUUACUGGGCGUAAAGAGCUCGUAGGUGGUUUGUCGCGUUGUUCGUGAAAUCUCACGGCUUAACUGUGAGCGUGCGGGCGAUACGGGCAGACUAGAGUACUGCAGGGGAGACUGGAAUUCCUGGUGUAGCGGUGGAAUGCGCAGAUAUCAGGAGGAACACCGGUGGCGAAGGCGGGUCUCUGGGCAGUAACUGACGCUGAGGAGCGAAAGCGUGGGGAGCGAACAGGAUUAGAUACCCCUGUAGUCC